GGACAUUUGGUCCAGUGGUAUGAUUCUCGCUUUGGGUGCGAGAAGUCCCGAGUUCGAUUCUCGGAAUGCCCC
rfam:Brassica napus, WGS project CCCW01000000 data, contig: 2201